UUCCGGUUGAUCCCGCCGGACCUGACUGCUAUCGGAUUGAUACUAAGCCAUGCGAGUCAUUGUAGUAAUACAAGGCAGACGGCUCAGUAACGCGUAGUCAACCUACCCUAUGGACGAGGAUAAUCUCGGGAAACUGAGGAUAAUACUCGAUAGACCAUUAUGCCUGGAACGGUUUAUGGUUAAAAUGAUUCGUCGCCAUAGGAUGGGACUGCGGCCUAUCAGCUUGUUGGUGAGGUAAUGGCCCACCAAGGCGAUUACAGGUACGGGCUCUGAGAGGAGAAGCCCGGAGAUGGGUACUGAGACAAGGACCCAGGCCCUAUGGGGCGCAGCAGGCGAGAAAACUUUGCAAUGUGCGAAAGCACGACAAGGUUAGUCCGAGUGAUUUCUGCUAAAGAAAUCUUUUGCAAGUCAUAAAACCACUAGUGAAUAAGGGGUGGGCAAGUUCUGGUGUCAGCCGCCGCGGUAAAACCAGCACCUCAAGUGGUCAGGAUGAUUAUUGGGCCUAAAGCAUCCGUAGCCGGCUCUGUUAGUUUUCGGUUAAAUCUAUGUGCUCAACGCAUGGGCUGCCGAAAAUACUGCAGGGCUAGGGAGUGGGAGAGGUAGACGGUACUCGGUAGGAAGGGGUAAAAUCCUUUGAUCUAUCGAUGACCACCUGUGGCGAAGGCGGUCUACCAGAACACGUUCGACGGUGAGGGAUGAAAGCUGGGGGAGCAAACCGGAUUAGAUACCCGGGUAGUCCCAGCUGUAAACGAUGCAGACUCGAUGAUGCAUUGGCUUAUUGCCAAUGCAGUGUCGCAGGGAAGCCGUUAAGUCUGCCGCCUGGGAAGUACGUACGCAAGUAUGAAACUUAAAGGAAUUGGCGGGGGAGCACCACAAGGGGUGAAGCCUGCGGUUCAAUUGGAGUCAACGCCGG
rnacentral:rRNA from 1 species